GAGGUGUGGCACUGAGGGUUAUGGUUAGCGGAUUUUGUGGGAAUGAGUUGAUGGUUGGACUUGGUGAUCUUAGCAUUCUUUUCCAACCUUAAUGAUUCAGUGAUACUGUGAAAAUGUCUGCAGUGUUUACAUGUGUUACAUUUCAUAGGAGUCAGAGUUUGAGAUGUUCCUAAUAAGCAGGCAUUCUUCCACUGGUAUGUGAUAUUUACUGCAUUAGAGUGAGUUCAUGAAUUCAGGUUAGUAAACGCUAAUAUGCAUCUGUAACAUUCUGAUUCUGUUACUAAUUUGGCUAGCGUCUUUUCUGCAUUUAGGUCUUGUUACCUGAUUUGCAGAUGUAAAUACCCAUUUGGGAUAGCAGUCGGAAGAAAGGAAAGAAGAGCUCACUUCAGAUGAGCACAGCUUUAUAUAUACAAAGCAGCUGUUCUUUGCAAAUGAGGUGCUGGAUUUCUCUAAUACCACCUUCAUCUUAGGCAAGAUGGAGCUACAUUUAAUUCCAGUGUUCAGAAGCUCCAGGGUUGACUGAACCCUAAAGAUUUGCUUUGCUAAAUACGCCUCUGGGAGCACAGCAGCAUGUACAACACUUCAACAUGCAGUACAGAUUCCCGGAGUUUAAGAGAGGAGAAACCAUUAAUCUGACCUUUCUAUACCCAGUCCUUUUCUUUCAUCCAGUUGCCCAAUGACUUGGAGUUGUUUAAAAGAAACACGAAGUCUCCAGUGUUCAAUUAAGCUAUUCAGAUACCGAUCAAGAAACAAUCCAAGAGCACUUAAAGAGCUCCAUGUAUAACACUGAUUGCUUACUGGUGCUGAUAAUGCCAUGUGGAACCAGAGCUAUUUGGCAUGGCUGAAAAUCAAAUCCACAUUAUUGAUUACCCUCAGACUCUUUAGCAGACCUGCACCCUCAUGGCCUCUUUGCAUACGUUUUUUUUUUUUUUUUUUUUUUUUGACAUUUAACAGGCACGAGAGUUGAAGAAAGACAGACAGGAAACAGCAAAAUAAAACUGUGAAAU
rnacentral:lncRNA from 7 species